AAAUUGAAGAGUUUGAUCAUGGCUCAGAUUGAACGCUGGCGGCAGGCCUAACACAUGCAAGUCGAACGGUAACAGGAAGCAGCUUGCUGCUUCGCUGACGAGUGGCGGACGGGUGAGUAAUGUCUGGGAAACUGCCUGAUGGAGGGGGAUAACUACUGGAAACGGUAGCUAAUACCGCAUAAUGUCGCAAGACCAAAGAGGGGGACCUUCGGGCCUCUUGCCAUCGGAUGUGCCCAGAUGGGAUUAGCUUGUUGGUGGGGUAACGGCUCACCAAGGCGACGAUCCCUAGCUGGUCUGAGAGGAUGACCAGCCACACUGGAACUGAGACACGGUCCAGACUCCUACGGGAGGCAG
rnacentral:rRNA from 1 species